UACGAACUGUGCGAACGUUAUUCGGAAUCACUGGGCUUAAAGGGUGCGUAGGCGGCUGCCUAAGUCAGGUGUGAAAUCUCCCGGCUCAACCGGGAAACUGCGCUUGAUACUGGGCGGCUCGAGUGAGGUAGGGGUGUGUGGAACUUCCGGUGGAGCGGUGAAAUGUGUAGAUAUCGGAAGGAACGCCAGCAGCGAAAGCGGCACACUGGGCCUUUUCUGACGCUGAGGCACGAAAGCCAGGGAGCGAACGGG
rnacentral:rRNA from 1 species